UGGGGAAUAUUGGACAAUGGGCGCAAGCCUGAUCCAGCAAUGCCGCGUGUGUGAAGAAGGCCUGCGGGUUGUAAAGCACUUUAAGCCGGAAAGAAGGCUUCAAGGUGAAUAGCCUUGGGGAUUGACGUUACCGGCAGAAUAAGCACCGGCUAACUCCGUGCCAGCAGCCGCGGUAAUACGGAGGGUGCGAGCGUUAAUCGGAAUGACUGGGCGUAAAGCGCGCGUAGGCGGUUUGAUGAGUCCGAUGUGAAAGCCCUGGGCUUAACCUGGGAACGGCAUGGGAUACUGUUGAGCUAGAGUGUGGGAGAGGGGUGUGGAAUUUCCGGUGUAGCAGUGAAAUGCGUAGAGAUCGGAAGGAACACCAGUGGCGAAGGCGGCACCCUGGACCAACACUGACGCUGAGGUGCGAAAGCGUGGGGAGCAAACA
rnacentral:rRNA from 1 species